rnacentral:rRNA from 1 species
GACGUAGGGGGCGAGCGUUGUCCGGAUUUAUUGGGCGUAAAGCGUGCGUAGGCGGCUGCGCAAGUCGGGUGUGAAACCCCGGGGCUCAACCCCGGAACUGCAUCCGAUACUGCGUGGCUAGAGGUAGGUAGGGGAGAUCGGAAUUCCUGGUGUAGCGGUGAAAUGCGCAGAUAUCAGGAGGAACACCGGUGGCGAAGGCGGAUCUCUGGGCCUUACCUGACGCUCAGGCACGAAAGCUAGGGGAGCGAACGGG